UUCUCAGUUCUUCCUUUUGUAUACCCGGUAUAUCGACCGCAACCACCCCUCUGCUCACCUUUUCCCUCUAAUUUGAAUUUUUCUUUUCAAAUUUGUGCCUUAAUUAUCUUUAAUUACCUGAACCAUGUAGUCAUAGAUUCACAGCCCAUCUCUCGAUUUUAAUUCGGAACUCAAAUCGAUCUAAUUUAGUGGUUUUAGGUUGGAAUUUGCAGUUGAAAGAGAUUAAACAAGGACUUCAUUCGCUUUAAUCGAAAUGUUACAGAUAUUUCAUCUAACUGCCACUUUCUUUGCUUGCUUACGGGUUGUAUCAGUACAUGUUGUAUCCAUAAAUUCUCCGUUCUUACGCAAGUUCUUCCUGAAAAACGGUGUAAGGCUGAUUGUAGGCGGACAAUAUGAGAUAGACAUGAUUACAAAGAAGGCAAUGAAUCAGCGACAAAUUAAGAAAUGAGAAACAGAUACACAUGAAAGUCAACAUGCGUGUUUUGAUGAAGAUAUGACGAGUGGCCGAUCCCGCUUGGCUCAUCGAUUCGGCAACAUGCAAGGAUUAGUUGAUGCACGCGGUGGACUCAAUCUCAUGAUGACACACUCCAAUCCAAACAACUUAUGACGGGCGGACGGAUACUUGAAAAUGAUUUCCUACUUGUGCAAAUUGCAGUUGCACAAGCUUACUAUUAAAAUUUCGGUGGCAGCAAUUCAUGGUUCAAACCUGUAUCGAAACUACCCACAUGGGCCCAAGUCUAUGAACAAGAGUCCCGCAAUUUUCUGAAAAUUGAAGCAAAUAGAUACCAAGGUAAAAAAAGAAAGCAAUUUUACCUAGAUUUGUAAUGAAAGAGCUCACAUUUCGGGGAUCAAAACAGCAACGACAGUGUUAUUUAUCAUACCACCAACCUAGCUUUGUGCCGUUUGGGUAACGAGUCGGAUUGUUUGGUUAAAAGCAGCACCUACACUACUUCCACUUGGUUGCAGAAUCCAUAUCGGAUAAUUGACAAUUUGGCAAUACACGUGAAAAGUCAACCAUGUACAAACUUAAAAAUGAAAAGGCACAAAGAAUUUAAGAAUAUCACAGGAUUGAAAAGAUAUAUAAUGACGGCUUAAUUAUCAAUAUCAUAAGAUGAAAAAGAAUUUGUUAUAUGUUUCGUAUCCUUAUCAAACGUCAGGCAGCUAAUAGCGUG